UGUCAGUGAUGACAAUAUAUUUGCUACUCUUGACAGUCUUGAGUGACGACAAACCACCAAGAUCGCUGAGACA